AGAGUUUGAUCAUGGCUCAGGACAAACGCUGGCGGCGUACCUAAGACAUGCAAGUCGCACGAGAAAGGGGCUUCGGUCCUGAGUAAAGUGGCGCACGGGUGAGUAACACGUGAAUGAUCUACCUCCGAGUGGGGAAUAACUGAGAGAAAUCUUAGCUAAUACCGCAUAACACUUACGAGUCAAAGCAGCAAUGCGCUUGGAGAGGAGUUCGCGGCCGGUUAGUUAGUUGGCGGGGUAAUGGCCCACCAAGACGAUGAUCGGUAUCCGGCCUGAGAGGGCGCACGGACACACUGGAACUGAAACACGGUCCAGACUCCUACGGGAGGCAGCAGUGGGGAAUUUUGCGCAAUGGGGGAAACCCUGACGCAGCAACGCCGCGUGGAGGAUGAAGUAUCUUGGUACGUAAACUCCUUUCGAUGGGGAAGAUAAUGACGGUACCCAUAGAAGAAGCCCCGGCUAACUUCGUGCCAGCAGCCGCGGUAAUACGAGGGGGGCAAGCGUUGUUCGGAAUUAUUGGGCGUAAAGGGUGCGUAGGCGGUUUGAUAAGUCUGAUGUGAAAUCUCUGGGCUCAACCCAGAGUCUGCAUUAGAAACUGUCGGGCUUGAGUAUGGGAGAGGUGAGUGGAAUUUCCGGUGUAGCGGUGAAAUGCGUAGAUAUCGGAAGGAACACCUGUGGCGAAAGCGGCUCACUGGACCAUAACUGACGCUGAGGCACGAAAGCUAGGGGAGCAAACAGGAUUAGAUACCCUAGUAGUCC
rnacentral:rRNA from 1 species